GACUAAAGUUUAUAACUGCCGUAGACAGCAAGUAUAGCUUUGCUAUGUAAGUGCGGAUGCCGCUUGCCGAGGAAGAUUGUGAAUGCAAUCAUAGUGAGAUUAUAUCCUCUGUCUGCGUGCGCAGGCAGAGGAUUUUUUAUAAAUGU
rfam:Clostridium sp. CAG:62 genomic scaffold, scf78